AUACGUAGGGAGCGAGCGUUGUCCGGAAUUACUGGGUGUAAAGGGAGCGUAGGCGGGACGGCAAGUCAGAUGUGAAAUACAUGGGCUCAACCCAUGGGCUGCAUUUGAAACUGCUGUUCUUGAGUGAAGUAGAGGUAAGCGGAAUUCCUGGUGUAGCGGUGAAAUGCGUAGAUAUCAGGAGGAACACCGGUGGCGAAGGCGGUUUUCGGGGCAUGUACGGAGGCGGAGGCUCGAAAGCGUGGGGAGCAAACAGGAUUAGAUACCCUGGUAGUCCAGGCUGUAAACGAUGGUCCCUAGGUGUGGGGGGACUGACCCCUUCCGUGCCGCAGUUAACACAAUAAGUGAUCCACCUGGGGAGUACGGUCGCAAGGUUGAAACUCAAAUGAAUUGACGGGG
rnacentral:rRNA from 1 species